rnacentral:rRNA from 1 species
CACGCCGUAAACGAUGAUAACUAGCUGUCCGGGCACAUGGUGCUUGGGUGGCGCAGCUAACGCAUUAAGUUAUCCGCCUGGGGAGUACGGUCGCAAGAUUAAAACUCAAAGGAAUUGACGGGGGCCUGCACAAGCGGUGGAGCAUGUGGUUUAAUUCGAAGCAACGCGCAGAACCUUACCAGCCUUUGACAUCCCGGUCGCGGUUUCCAGAGAUGGAUUCCUUCAGUUCGGCUGGACCGGUGACAGGUGC